rnacentral:rRNA from 1 species
UACGAAGGGGGCUAGCGUUGCUCGGAAUCACUGGGCGUAAAGGGUGCGUAGGCGGGUUUUUAAGUCAGAGGUGAAAUCCUGGAGCUCAACUCCAGAACUGCCUUUGAUACUGGAGAGCUUGAGUCCGGGAGAGGUGAGUGGAACUGCGAGUGUAGAGGUGAAAUUCGUAGAUAUUCGCAAGAACACCAGUGGCGAAGGCGGCUCACUGGCCCGGUACUGACGCUGAGGUGCGAAAGCGUGGGGAGCAAACAGGG